CCUACGGGAGGCAGCAGUAGGGAAUAUUGCUCAAUGGGGGAAACCCUGAACCAGCAACGCCGCGUGGAGGAUGAAGGUUUUCGGAUUGUAAACUCCUUUUGUUAGAGAAGAUAAUUACGGUAUCUAACGCAUAAGCACCGGCUAACUCCGUGCCAGCAGCCGGGGUAAAACGGAGGGUGCAAGCGUUACUCGGAAUCACUGGGCGUAAAGAGCGCGUAGGCGGGAUAGAAAGUAAGAGGUGAAAUCCUAUGGCUUAACCAUAGAACUGCAGUUGAAACUGUUAUUCUAGAGUAUGGGAGAGGUAGGUGGAAUUCUGGGUGUAGGGGUAAAAUGCGUAGAGAUCAAGAAGAAUACUCAUUGCGAAGGCGACCUGCUAGACCACAACUGACGCUGAUGCGCGAAAGCGUGGGGAGCAAACAGGAUUAGAUACCCGGGUAGUC
rnacentral:rRNA from 1 species